AGCCUGAUAGCUCAGCUGGUAGAGCCAGCGCGUACAAAGCAUAGGCGGCGUUCAUGCGUGGGUUCGAAUCCCACUGAGGAUA
rnacentral:tRNA from 1 species